UGUGCUUCCAUCAUCAUAGCUCCAUGACCUCGCACAAGUCCCUGUGUCACCAACUACCAACACCUUUCCCUCCUCCCCAAUCCCAGAUCUGCUUUCUGUCCUUACAGUUCUAUCUCCUCCAGAAAGCCACAGAAGUGCCGUCCUAUAGCUCUCAGCCCUCUGAGUCUGGCUGCCUUCCAAACCCAUCCUUCAACACCCAGAGUGAUCUUUUCAAAAUGUCUUCCACACUGGGUUGCAGGAGGCUAAGAGCGGGGUCUGUUUUCGUUGCUCACCUCUGUAUCCUCUGAACCAAGCAUAGGGCUGACAUAUGGGCAGACCUCUUAUCACCGUGGAUUGUUUGUUUUCUCAACUGUAACCAACACGGAGCUGGGAGGUGGCCCCUGCCAUGGACUGUGGCUUCCCAGCCCCUCUCCCCUGUGUUUGUCCAAGGCUGAAUGAGAAAGCGAAGAGUAUUACUCUCACAGAAGUUGCCUGCGUGCUGGGGCCAGAGCUUUCUACAGAUCACCGUGGCCCCUCCCGCUGUGCGACCCUGCCUGACCCUUUGGAUUAAAAAAUAAAU